ensembl:ncRNA lncRNA:CR43943 long non-coding RNA:CR43943
CCAAACUAGUAUUUUGUUUAUUUCGAAUGCCAUAUUAUCGGAAUAUCUUAGCUAGCUGGUUAUUGAUCGCAUAUUUAAGCUAAACCUGCAUGGAUUUGUUUACUAGAACAGGUGGAUUACUUAAUUAAUGCAAUCUCGAGCGGAAUGAAUUGCAAUAUUGUAAUGCGGGUCGGGCCUCCAAUCUGUUUACUUCGUAUCUGAGCGGCGCUUUGCAAGUUCUGCGUUCGAAAUUUCACUUCCUUAAGCUCGUUACAUGAAGAUACAGAUAACUAUGUGUUCGUUAUGCAAAAGUUCGGCCCAUGUCAGAAUUCAGCUAAAUAUUCAUGAAGUCAAGUCUAGUGAGUUCGAAAAUCGGUUGCCAAGUCGUACUAAACUUGAUUCCAGUUUCGAGCCCCCAAAAACGCAAACAAUGGGCCAACUGAGUGUUAAUGCUAUCUGAAUUGUUAUUGUUAUUGCCAUUGUUACACAGUGCAUAAUGUGGGGCGUUAUUGAAGUUGUUUUGCAUUAGAACCGCUUUGCAAGGUUCUCAAAACAAAUGUACAAAAACUGGUUAACAAAUCUGUUUGUUGUUACGAUCUAAUAAAGCGGCACACGCUAGUCACAAAUCAUC